CCUACGGGUGGCAGCAGUAGGGAAUAUUGCUCAAUGGGGGAAACCCUGAAGCAGCAACGCCGCGUGGAGGAUGAAGGUUUUCGGAUUGUAAACUCCUUUUGUUAGAGAAGAUAAUGACGGUAUCUAACGAAUAAGCACCGGCUAACUCCGUGCCAGCAACCGCGGCUAUACGGGGGGUGCAAGCGUUACUCGGAAUCACUGGGCGUAAAGGGCGAGUAGGCGGGAUAGGAAGUCAGGUGUGAAAUCCUAUGGGUUAACCAUAGAACUGCAUUUGAAACUGAUGUUCUAGAGUAUGGGAGAGGUAGGUGGAAUUCUUGGUGGAGGGGUAAAAUCCGUAGAGAUCAAGAAGAAUACUCAUUGCGAAGGCGACCUGCUAGAACAUGACUGACGCUGAUGCGCGAAAGCGUGGGGAGCAAACAGGAUUAGAUACCCGAGUAGUC
rnacentral:rRNA from 1 species